UCACUUUGAACUUCUAUUUAAAGUUAGGCUGAUUUGUGUUAACAAUUGAACAGGUAGACCUAAUAAAGUUGAGUAUAAAAAUAAUGCACGACGGACUAUGAUUCUUUUUUUUUUGGCAAAAUGCCGAAACCCGGGAUCGAACCAGGGACCUUUAGAUCUUCAGUCUAACGCUCUCCCAACUGAGCUAUUUCGGCUACCGUAGAACGGUAUUUCUAAUAAUAUACUACUAUUAGUCAAAUAAAUAUUUGAAAAUGCCGGUUUAUUUUGUCUUAGUUCUGAAUUGCAACGAAUGAGACCGCAAUUUGUUUUGCUGUCCAAAGAUUGACUUCGCUGUUUAAUUGGUUUUCGUUGAUUCGUUAAUUGGUUUUCGAAAGAUCUCCGAUUCGCUGCUAAAAGAUGGAAUCGCGCACAUGAUUGACUUUCGAAUUUCUGAAUCGGCGACGCGACUAGCGGGCUUAUAUGGAUUUGCGGUAACCAAGUUCCGUAAAUGCAAUAUAUCCAAGUCAUGUCAGGCAUUUGUAACGCUAAUGUAACUUGAACAUCGGGAGUUUUGCAAUCAAGUUUGUGCAGUUGCAGCCGUAGCUUUAGCUGGUUGUAUUUUUUUCUGCCGAUGAAAUUGCUUGUUUUCUUUGGGAGUUGUACGCUGGAGUGCGUCGUUUCUGAUUAGGGUAUUAGGGUAUUGGUGGUAUUCUGAUGACCACCUUAAGCAGUGCCUCCUCCACCUCCAGCCGUGCCUCCACCACCUCCAGCAGUGCCUCCUCUUCAGUCAUCUACAGUUUUGCUUCAGCCCCAGCUUCCUUCUUCCAUGUCCUCUUCACAACAGGAUGCUGUAGACAACCGCAACAUUCCUGGAACGGACCGUGUAGAUGAACUGGCUGAAUACUUGGUGGAGCUACGAGAGCAGACGGGAUUGACCCUGAACAAUCCACAAGUUAGCACCAUUCUGGGUUUGCGGCAGAGUCUUGACAAAUUUGACAAAGACAGGAUUGUGUAUGCUGCAAGACAUCAGGACCGGUGGCUAACUGGGCACUUCAGGUCUCCUAAAAAGAAGGCUGUGUUCACUCCUGGGGUGGAAAGUACAAAACGGUGUGUUCUUGGCUCAAGUGGUUCACCAGCUCAGUGGCCAAACUGCUGUCGCCUGAUUGAGACCAUCUUCGUGAGGCUGUGCAACAUUCACACGAGCCCCAAAGAAAGAGGACAACACAGCGUAUCUCGGCAGCUGGUUCUGUGCAAUGGGACACUAAUGCAGCAGACAACCCUUCAACGUGUUGUAGUGAACCAGACCACCCUCAUGCAGUGGUAUAACCAACGGUUGAAGGGUCAGGAGGCGUCUGUUCUUUUGCAAGGUGUGCAACGGCCAGCUGACCCACUGCCCUUUUGCAAAAACAAAACCCAUCUCUCUGCCACAGUACCAACGCCAGCCCCCAGCUUCACACCUACCAUAUGCCAGCAAAUACAGCUGGACAGGCAAAACCUAGGUUACGGUGAAUACGGUGGACCAUCAGCCAUCCUUUCAGUUGGAGAUGUGCGUGAAAGUCCCAGUAGAUGAGGAGCUUCUGAAAUACUCCACCACGUUCAAAGUCGCUUAAAUGCCCUCUCUUCCCUUUCUGAUGCUCGCUUUGAACUUCUAUUUAAAGUUAGGCUGAUUUGUGUUAACAAUUGAACAGGUAGACCUAAUAAAGUGGAGUUUUUCUUUUGACAUUUUGCUUUACAGCUGCAAUGCUACUGCUUUGAAAUGAGUAUUAUAAUAAAAAAUAAUGCACGACGGACUAUGAUUCUUUUUUUUUUUUUGCAUUUACAACUAAACUGGGAGAUGUACAAGUCCUUUUGUAUUUUGUUUUUGCUGAAUUCAAGAAUUGCAUCAUCUGUAAAAUGAGAGCCUGACACAACUCCAGCCGUUUUAGUGAGGCUCCCCUACAGCCCUCUUCAGCUAUUUCUGAUUAGAAUCUUCUAAAACCGAAUAAUGUAAUAAUUUAUUUGAUAUGCCUCUACAAUCACUUAAAAAGUUUCGGCAGGAAAAUGCCGAAACCCGGGAUCGAACCAGGGACCUUUAGAUCUUCAGUCUAACGCUCUCCCAAUGGUUUGUAAAACUUUUAAUUUAUAACAAAGACAAUAUGUAUGUACAAUUGUGAACAAAAUGACAUUCACAUUUAAGCAUUUAUAAAGCUGAAAUUGUCAAAGAAACAAAUCAAACCCCAAUGAAACCUUGAUACAACUAUGAAAUAAGAUGUAAAACUUGCAGUGGAACUCAAAGGGCAGAACAGGCCACAGGGAUAAGCAUAUUAAAAGUAACAAUACUGCAUUACUGUCUCAUCUGCUUCAGCCACUGUUCUUUGGUGAGAGCCUCAGUGUUUGGACAGUAUAUUUUUCCUUUGUACUGAAGAGGGUGGCUGAUGGUCCACUGGAGGCAACUGCAGGAUCAAUUUGCCGUAACCUAGGUUUUGCCUGUCCAGCUGUAUUUGCUGGCAUAUGGUAUGUGUGCAGCUGGUAACUGGGGGCUGUUGUUGGUACUGUGGCAGAGAGAUGGGUUUUGUUUUUGCAAAGGGCAGUGGGUCAGCUGCCACUGGCCGUUGCACACCUUGCAAAAGAACAGACGCCUCCUGACCCUUCAGCCGUUGGUUAUUCCACUGCAUGAGGGUGGUCUGGUUCACUACAACACGUUGAAGGGUUGUCUGCUGCAUUAGUGUCCCAUUGCACAGAACCAGCUUCCGGAUCUUUUUGUAAUCCUGUAAAAUUAGAGACCAUCGAGAUACGCUGUGUUGUCCUCUUUUUUGGGGCUCGUAUGAAUGUUGCACAGCCUCGCGAAGAUGGUCUCUAUCAGGCGACAGCAGUUUGGCCACUGAGCUGGUGAACCACUUGAGCCAAGAACACACCGUUUUGUGCUUUCCACCCCAGGAGUGAACACAGCCUUCUUUUUAGGAGACCUGAAGUGCCCAGUUAGCAACCGGUCCUGAUGUCUUGCAGCAUACACAAUCCUGUCUUUGUCAAAUUUGUCAAGACUCUGCCGCAAACCCAGAAUGGUGCUAACUUGUUGAUUGUUCAGGGUCAAUCCUGUCUGUUCUCGUAGCUCCACCAAGUAUUCAGCCAGUUCAUCUACACGGUCCGUUCCAGGAAUGUUGCGGUUGUCUACAGCCUGGAAAAUAAAAACUGAUAUUUAGGUUCUCUGGCAUCACAAUUUCCUUGUCACUACUUAAAUUCUUGCAGACAGACAGACAGACUUCAGGGACCCGACGAGAACCCAAAUGCGACACCGGAGUUCGACGGAACACAGCUUUAUUAUCAGGAAUAGACAGCAGACAGGAUUCACUGGGGAGCCGGCAGGAUAGAAUAGUUGGGGAAGGUGGAAGGUGAUCUAUAGAUCGACUGAGAAUUUAUUUAUUUAUCACUUACAUCCUGUUGUGAAGAGGACAUGGAAGAAGGAAGCUGGGGCUGAAGCAAAACUGUAGAUGACUGAAGAGUAGGCACGGCUGGAGGUGGAGGAGGCACGGCUGGAGGUGGAGGAGGCACUGCUGGAGGUAGUGGAGACCAUAACAUAACAAGUAAUCAGAAACGACGCACUCCAGCGUACAACUGCCAAAGAAAACAAGCAAUUUCAUCGGCAGAAAAAAAUACAACCAGCUAAAGCUCCGGCAGCAACUGCACAAACUUUAUUGCAAAACUCCCGAUGAUCAAGUUACAUUAGCGUUACAAAUGCCUGACAUGACUUGGACAUAUUGCAUUGAGCAUUUACGGUGAUAUUUUAUGUGAAAUGAAAAAAAAAACCGUAACGAAUAACAGACCUCAAUUUGCGCACGUACCUUGUCAAAAUCCACGGAGAUGUCCGUAAUAAACAGCGGGCAGAUUUUUAAAUUCUAAAUAAACUCUCGGAUCGAUUGGCUUUUCCAAAGAUUGAGACCGCAGUUUAAUUUAAACCGGGAAACACUGUCGAAAGAUUGAAUCACGCAGACGAUUGGCUGUUGAAAGAUUGAAUCACGCAGACGAUUCGCUGCUGAAAGAUGGAAUCGCGCACAUGAUUGGCUUUCGAAUUUCUGAAUCGGCGACGCGACAGGCGGGUUUAUAUGGAUUUGCGGUCGCCAAGCACCGCCCUUUCGGCUACCGUACGAAUUCCCGGGAGAUGUGCGUGAUAUGAAAGUCCUAGUAGAUGAGGAGUUUCUGAAAUACUCCACCACGUUCCAAGUCGCUUAAAUGCCCUCUCUUCCCUUUCUGAUGCUCGCUUUUAACUUCUAUUUAAAGUUAGGCUGAUUUGUGUUAACAAUUGAACAGGUAGACCUAAUAAAGUGGAGUAUAAAAAUAAUGCACGACGGACUAUGAUUCUUUUUUUUUUUUCGGCAAAAUGCCGAAACCCGGGAUCGAACCAGGGACCUUUAGAUCUUCAGUCUAACGCUCUCCCAACUGAGCUAUUUCGGCUACCGUACUACGUAAUAGACGUAGUAGAUGUUUCCUAAUAAUAUACUACUCUUAUUCAAAUAAUAAAUAUUUGAAAAUGCUGAUUUAUUCUGUCUUAGUUCUGAAUUGCAACGAAUGAGACCGCAGUUUGUUUAGCUGUCGAAAGAUUGACUUCGCUGUUUAAUUGGUUUUUCGAAAGAUCUCCGAUUCGCUGCUAAAAGAUGGAAUCGCGCACAUGAUUGACUUUCGAAUUUCUGGAUCGGCGACGCGACUGGCGGGCUUAUAUGGAUUUGCAGGAUAGAAUAGUUGGGGAAGGUGGAAGGUGAUCUAUAGAUCGACUGAGAAUUUAUUCUUUUAUCACUCACAUCCUGUUGUGAAGAGGACAUGGAAGAAGGAAGCUGGGGCUGAAGCAAAACUGUAGAUGACUGAAGAGGAGGCACUGCUGGAGGUGGUGGAGGCACGGCUGGAGGUGGAGGAGGCACUGCUUAAGGUGGUCAUCAGAAUACCACCAAUACCCUAAUACCCUAAUCAGAAACGACGCACUCCAGCGUACAACUGCCAAAGAAAACAAGCAAUUUCAUCGGCAGAAAAAAAUACAACCAGCUAAAGCUACGGCUGCAACUGCACA
rnacentral:tRNA from 1 species